CAUUUGCACGGAAAACACAGCAUAUAUUCCAGUAAACGGUUAUAUUUAGGCAAGAAAUAUAGAGAUUGAUGCUGUUAGGUUUCGUGCAACAACUUCCCAAGCGAUGUCACCUCUGAAUACAGUAUCACGAUGCACUACAUGGUUUCAGAUAAAGGAAGGAAGAUGUUUUAGAGAGAGAUAAUUCCCAAAACAAUGUGAGAUUACAGAUUAUGGAAGAUUGCUGGGCAUUAUGACAAACAAAGGUAUCAAGGAGGAAAAUGAACAAUGUAGG